GACGAACGCUGGCGGCGUGCUUAACACAUGCAAGUCGAACGGUAAGGCCCUUCGGGGUACACGAGUGGCGAACGGGUGAGUAACACGUGGGUGAUCUGCCCUGCACUUUGGGAUAAGCCUGGGAAACUGGGUCUAAUACCGGCUUGGACCAUAGCAUUCAUGUGCGGGGGUGGAAAGCUUUUGCGGUGUGGGAUGGGCCCGCGGCCUAUCAGCUGGUUGGUGGGGUGAUGGCCUACCAAGGCGGCGAAGGGUAGCCGGCCUGAGAGGGGGUCCGGCCACAAGGGGACUGAGGGACGGAGCAGACGGCUACGGGAGGCAGCAGUGGGGAAGAUUGCAAAUGGGCGCGAGCGUGAGGCGGCGACGCCGGGUGGGGGAUGACGGCCUGUGGGGUGUGAACCUCUUUCGGUAGGGACGAAGCGCAAGUGACGGUACCUAUAGAAGAAGCACCGGCCAACUACGUGCCAGCCGCCGCGGUAA
rnacentral:rRNA from 1 species